UACAGAGGGUGCAAGCGUUGUUCGGAAUUACUGGGCGUAAAGCGUGCGCAGGCGGUUUUGUAAGCCCGGUGUGAAAUCCCCGGGCUCAACCUGGGAAUGGCAUUUGGGACUGCAAGGCUGGAGUGCGGCAGAGGAGACUGGAAUUCCUGGUGUAGCAGUGAAAUGCGUAGAUAUCAGGAGGAACACCGAUGGCGAAGGCAGGUCUCUGGGCUGACACUGACGCUCAUGCACGAAAGCGUGGGGAGCAAACAGG
rnacentral:rRNA from 1 species